GAGAUGGCAUCGGAAUUCGGACCCGAUUUGUGCUUCUUCGAACACAAUCAGCCGAACCCAUUGGCUAUUUUCGUCCCUCGACCAAACCCAUCUCAUUUUUUCACCACCUGAGCAAUAUCACAUUGUUGGGUACUUCACUUACAUCACGUUUUUUUCCUUUCCCAUUUCUCACAGGGAAGGCUUGAAUUGGGCUUGUUGAAGCGUGGGAUGUGUUACGAACAUACAGCGUUCAUGUUGUUGGUAUGUGGGUAGUAACCCGAUUGUUGUCGUUCUUUCUGUUGUUGUGUCGUUGAAUGGAGUCACAACCCAGCCUGCUCGCUUUUGUAGCUCUUUUUGUGAUAAAUGGGUUGAGUUUGAUUUGAAGGGUUCGUAAGAGGGAGUUGAUCAUGUCUCUUGGAUUUUGGUAUUGUCAUCUUCAACAGGGUUUCUCAGUGUCGCAAUGUGUAAGAAGAGCUACUGGGAAUCGUGAUUGUGAUUGUUUCCUUUUGCAUUCCAUGCAGGGGAAUGCGUAUUGUCUUGUGCAGUGGGUCUUGUGCGGUUUGAAUUUUUGCUCUGGGCUUUGGAGACGCUGUGUACGUGCACAUUCUCUUGCGCCUAACCCCAAUUUUAACUUCCUUCUGAAGUGAUAUCAGUUCCAAAUAAGCUUGACUGCACUUAUUGGAUACUUAUAUUUGUUUUUGUUUUUGUUUUGUCAUGGCCCACUCGGAUUAAUCAGACAGACCAAACCUCCAUAUGAAUCACAAUGGCCAGGAUCAUUUUACCUUCAGAGUCUAAAGUAGAUCUGUUAUUUCCUCGACACAUUCAAGUUCAGUUGAUAGCUUCAUGAAGUUCAACACGAUGAGGAGGUUGCUUGUCCCAGCUUUCUCCCUCUGGUACUGGAAUUUGCUGCAUGAUUUGCAAAUUUUUACAACGUGCGUGGUAAUAUGUCGCUGCUCAAACUUUUGAGCGACCAUUCAAAACCCUGACUGUUUGAUUCUUUACAUUUGUGGAGAAAUACAAUUUUCAUUCUCUGAAAAUUUUCACAUCCGUGUUGUAUACCUUGUAAGACUGCCAUCGGAGCACAGCGCAGCCUCCCUCUUGAUGCUGCGACAAGAUUACGGGUUUUGUUACAUAAUUUCUUCAACACAUGCGGCUAUGUUUGUGAAAUAUCUACCAUGGACGUAGCAGGCAUCUCGGUUGGUUUAACUUCGAGACUGACCACAACGUGUUUCUCUUCGUAAAUGUCACAAUGUCGUUAAAAUCCUGCAACAGCGUUAGUACUGAAAUUAAGAAAUUGAUUUGAGUGAUGGUCCUUUUUUCUCUGUCCGUUUUUUAUUUUUAUUUUGCCUUCAAAACUUUGAUCUCCUCAUUCUCCUCCUCAGUUCCUUCCUCUUUC
rnacentral:lncRNA from 1 species